rnacentral:rRNA from 1 species
UACGAAGGGGGCUAGCGUUGUUCGGAAUUACUGGGCGUAAAGCGCACGUAGGCGGACAUUUAAGUCAGGGGUGAAAUCCCAGAGCUCAACUCUGGAACUGCCUUUGAUACUGGGUGUCUUGAGUAUGGAAGAGGUGAGUGGAAUUCCGAGUGUAGAGGUGAAAUUCGUAGAUAUUCGGAGGAACACCAGUGGCGAAGGCGGCUCGCUGGCUCGAACCUGACGCUGAGGUGCGAAAGCGUGGGGAGCAAACAGG